ACCGGCGGAAGGGCUAGUAAUGGUAUCGAACGUGCCCCGAGGUGGGGGAUAGCCGCGGGAAACUGCGGGUAAUACCCCAUGUGCUCUCCGGAGGAAAGCUCAGGCGCCUUGGGAGCGGCGAUACUCCUAUCAGGUAGUUGGCGGGGUAAUGGCCCACCAAGCCGAAGACGGGUAGCGGGUGUGAGAGCACGACCCGCAGCAUCGAGACUGAGACACUGCUCGGACUCCUACGGGAGGCUGCAGUAACGAAUCUUCCGCAAUGCGCGAAAGCGUGACGGAGCAAUGCCGCGUGUGGGAUGAAGCGGUUUUCCGUGUAAACCACUGCCAGGGUCCAGGAAGAACUGGCCGGACCCAGAGGAAGGGGCGGCUAACCUCGUGCCAGCAGCCGCGGUAAGACGAGGGCCCCAAGCGUUAAUCGGAAUCACUGGGCUUAAAGGGUGCGUAGGCGGAUCAGCAAGCGUCUUGCGAAAUCCCUCGGCUCAACCGGGGAAUUGCUGGGCGAACUGCUGGUCUUGAGGGAGCUAGAGGCUGCCGGAACGUUCGGUGGAGCGGUGAAAUGCGUAGAGAUCGAACGGAACGUCGAAGGCGAAGGCAGGCAGCUGGGGCUCUCCUGACGCUCAGGCACGAAAGCGUGGGGAUCAAACGGGAUUAGAUACCCUGGUAGUCCACGCCGUAAACGAUGUGCACUUGGCCGAU
rnacentral:rRNA from 1 species